rnacentral:rRNA from 1 species
GAGUUUGAUCCUGGCUCAGGAUGAACGCUAGCGACAGGCUUAACACAUGCAAGUCGAGGGGCAGCGGGGGCGAAGCUUGCUUCGCCUGCCGGCGACCGGCGCACGGGUGAGUAACACGUAUGCAACCUACCCCCUGCAGGGGAAUAACCCGGAGAAAUCCGGACUAAUACCACACGGCACUUUCGGGAGGCAUCUUCUGAGGGUUAAAGGAGCGAUCCGGCCGGGGAUGGGCAUGCGGCGCAUUAGCUAGUCGGCGGGGUAACGGCCCACCGAGGCGACGAUGCGUAGGGGUUCUGAGAGGAAGGUCCCCCACACUGGUACUGAGACACGGACCAGACUCCUACGGGAGGCAGCAGUGAGGAAUAUUGGUCAAUGGGCGGGAGCCUGAACCAGCCAAGUCGCGUGAGGGACGACGGUCCUAUGGAUUGUAAACCUCUUUUGUCGGGGAACAAAGGCGCCCACGGGUGGGCGGAUGAGUGUACCCGAAGAAAAAGCAUCGGCUAACUCCGUGCCAGCAGCCGCGGUAAUACGGAGGAUGCGAGCGUUAUCCGGAUUUAUUGGGUUUAAAGGGUGCGUAGGCGGACGGUCAAGUCAGCGGUAAAAAUGCGGUGCUCAACGCCGUACAGCCGUUGAAACUGGCAGUCUUGAGUGGGCGAGAAGUAUGCGGAAUGCGUGGUGUAGCGGUGAAAUGCAUAGAUAUCACGCAGAACUCCGAUUGCGAAGGCAGCAUACCGGCGCCCUACUGACGCUGAGGCACGAAAGCGUGGGUAUCAAACAGGAUUAGAUACCCUGGUAGUCCACGCAGUAAACGAUGAAUACUAAUUGUCCGGGGCUUCGGUUCUGGGUGAUACAGCGAAAGCGUUAAGUAUUCCACCUGGGGAGUACGCCGGCAACGGUGAAACUCAAAGGAAUUGACGG